UACGUAGGGGCAAGCGUUGUCCGGAAUCAUUGGGCGUAAAGCGCGUGUAGGCGGCUGAGUAAGUCUGCGUCUGAAAGCCCGGGGCUCAACCCCGGGAGGCGGGUGGAUACUGCUCAGCUCGAGUCCGGAAGAGGAGUGUGGAAUUCCUGGUGUAGCGGUGAAAUGCGCAGAUAUCAGGAGGAACACCAAUGGCGAAGGCAGCACUCUGGGACGGUACUGACGCUGAGACGCGAAAGCGUGGGGAGCAAACAGG
rnacentral:rRNA from 1 species